ACUCCUACGGGAGGCAGCAGUGGGGAAUAUUGGACAAUGGGCGAAAGCCUGAUCCAGCCAUGCCGCGUGUGUGAAGAAGGCCUUUUGGUUGUAAAGCACUUUAAGCGAGGAGGAGGCUACUUGGAUUAAUACUCUAGGAUAGUGGACGUUACUCGCAGAAUAAGCACCGGCUAACUCUGUGCCAGCAGCCGCGGUAAUAC
rnacentral:rRNA from 1 species